GUGAGGAAUAUUGGACAAUGGGCGCAAGCCUGAUCCAGCCAUGCCGCGUGCAGGAAGACGCAUCUAUGGUGUGUAAACUGCUUUUGUACGGGAAGAAACACUCCCUCGUGAGGGAGCUUGACGGUACCGUAAGAAUAAGGAUCGGCUAACUCCGUGCCAGCAGCCGCGGUAAUACGGAGGAUCCAAGCGUUAUCCGGAAUCAUUGGGUUUAAAGGGUCCGUAGGCGGUUUAAUAAGUCAGUGGUGAAAGCCCAUCGCUCAACGAUGGAACGGCCAUUGAUACUGCUAGACUUGAAUUACAAGGAAGUAACUAGAAUAUGUAGUGUAGCGAUGAAAUGCUUAGAUAUUACAUGGAAUACCAAUUGCGAAGGCAGGUUACUACUUGUGGAUUGACGCUGAUGGACGAAAGCGUGGGGAGCGAACAGGAUUAGAUACCCCGGUAGUCC
rnacentral:rRNA from 1 species